CCGGGCGUAGCAUUCUUGCCACGACGGGUUCGGAAGUGACUGAUCCAAAGAGCCGGCAAGGGAUGAA
rnacentral:sRNA from 1 species